UACGAAGGGGGCUAGCGUUGCUCGGAAUCACUGGGCGUAAAGGGUGCGUAGGCGGGUUUUUAAGUCAGGGGUGAAAUCCUGGAGCUCCAACUCCAGAACUGCCUUUGAUACUGAAGAUCUUGAGUCCGGGAGAGGUGAGUGGAACUGCGAGUGUAGAGGUGAAAUUCGUAGAUAUUCGCAAGAACACCAGUGGCGAAGGCGGCUCACUGGCCCGUACUGACGCUGAGGCACGAAAGCGUGGGAGCAAACAGG
rnacentral:rRNA from 1 species